GCACACGUCUAACGUGUGUAUGUAUGCUGUGCUCUCUGUGGGUGCUGCUGUACGGCCAAGGCGGAUGUACGGUACAGCAGCUGUUGAGUAUGAGAUAGUGACUAAAAAUAUAAAGACUCAUCCUUUUGGAUGAGUUAUUUCAAUGAGUUGAAUAUAAAUUAUUCUUCGAGUAGCAAGGAGAGGGCAAGUCUGGUGCCAGCAGCCGCGGUAAUUCCAGCUCUCCUAGUGUAUCUCGUUAUUGCUGCGGUUAAAAAGCUCGUAGUUGGAUCUAGGUUACGUGCCGCAGUUCGCAAUUUGCGUUAACUGUGGUCGUGACUUCUAAUUUGCUGGUUUGAGGUUGGGUUCGCCCUUCAACUGCCAGCAGGUUUACCUUGAAUAAAUCAGAGUGCUCAAUACAGGCGCUUGCUUGAAUAGCUCAUCAUGGAAUAAUGAAACAGGACUUCGGUUCUUUUUUGUUGGUUCUAGAAUUGAUCUAAUGGUUAAGAGGGACAAACCGGGGGCAUUCGUAUCAUUACG
rnacentral:ncRNA from 1 species